UCCAGUUGUAUGAUGGCAAAUUCAUCUGAAAAAUGCUUCAGAAGCAGUGAAUGUCUGAGAAGAGGCUCUGUGAACUUAAUAACGAAAGCAGUAAGUUGCAGAGAAGCAUACUACCGCAGUGGCUAUCAUCAUAUGAAUUUCUCUGCAAGACAAACAAAAAUAACUGACAUUUGGAAGUGAACAAGUUAACUGGAGCUGCUCUCCAUUUGGCAACUUUAGCUCCAGGUCUGGAAGUUUCUGCUGAAAUCCAAAGUAUCCACUGCUGAAAACUGAAAUGCACAUCUGGGCCUGUCUUUGCAUGACCACCUGCACAUGGUAAGCACACC